rnacentral:lncRNA from 1 species
GAGGGACUGGAGAAAGCAGCUACACGGUCCAGCCCCAGCAUCCAGGAGGCUCACUCUGGUUGCCUAUUAAACACUUUCAUGCAUUUUCCCCUCUCCCUGUAGCGAAACUCCUGAGGCACACAAGAGAGCCAAGUUGUUUCGUCUGUCCCAGGCAAGCCCAGAUGUGGAUGCAAUACCACCCAGAAGUAUUCUGAUCCAGUUUCACUGCUGAUCAGCAAGGCCAGC